GUAGUCGGAUUCACAUCAAUCCAUAUGUGUUAAGGUGGAUUUGAGUAGAACUUGAACUAAUUUCAUCCCAAUCCACACCAACACACAUGUUUUGAAGUGAAUCCGACA
rfam:Sorghum bicolor cultivar BTx623 chromosome 4, whole genome shotgun sequence.